UAGUCCACGCCGUAAACGAUGGUCACUAGCUGUGUGGAUUUCGGUCUGCGUGGCUAAGCGAAAGUGAUAAGUGACCCACCUGGGGAGUACGUUCGCAAGAAUGAAACUCAAAGGAAUUGACGGGGGCCCGCACAAGCGGUGGAGCAUGUGGUUUAAUUCGAUGAUACGCGAGGAACCUUACCAGGGCUUAAAUGUAAGUUGCAUUAGCUAGAGAUAGCUAUUUCUUCGGACUACUUACAAGGUGCUGCAUGGUUGUCGUCAGCUCGUGCCGUGAGGUGUCAGGUUAAGUCCUAUAACGAGCGCAACCCCUGUUGUUAGUCGCCAGCGGAUAAUGCCGGGGACUCUAAGAAAACUGCCAGUGUAAACUGAGAGGAAGGUGGGGAUGACGUCAAAUCAUCACGGCCCUUACGUCCUGGGCUACACACGUGCUACAAUGGUCUGUACAGAGAGUUGCUAACUGGUGACAGUGUGCUAAUCUCUAAAGCAGGCCUCAGUUCGGAUUG
rnacentral:rRNA from 1 species